rnacentral:lncRNA from 1 species
UAUUUAAUAAAAGUUAACAUUCAGAGAUGUAGUUAUUACUACUAUUUUCAUACCUGUUAAGUGUUACAUGUAUUUUUGAUUGAGCAAGUUGAUUGUAUAUUGUAGUGUAUCAUCCUAAAUUGUAUGUUGAGUUGUUUUACUCUAAUAAAUAAUUUUAAAUUUACACGGAAAAAAUUUAGGAUAUCACGUCAACUUCUUUAAUAGAUGUCGAAAAGAAGGACA